rnacentral:rRNA from 1 species
AAUAUUGCGCACUGGGCGAAAGCCUGACGCAGAGACGCCGCGUGGGGGAUAAGAUCUUCGGAUUGCAAACCCCUUUCGGGAGGGAAGAUGGAAUGGGGUAACCCAUUCGGACGGUACCUCCACAAGCAGCCACGGAUAACUUCGUGCCAGCAGCCGCGGUAAUACGAAGGUGGCAAGCGUUAUUCGGUUUACUGGGCGUACAGGGAGAGUAUGCGGUUCGGUAAGCCCUCUGUGAAAUCAUCAGGCUUAACCUGGAAAAGUCGGGGGGGACUGCCGGGCUAGAGGACGGGAGAGGAGCGCGGAAUUCCCGGUGUAGCGGUGAAAUGCGUAUAGAUCGGGAGGAAGGCCGGUGGCAAAGGCGGCCCUCUGGAACGUUUCUGACUCUGAGGCACGAAAGCGUGGGGAGCAAACAGGAUUAGAUACCCUGGUAGUUCACGCCUUAAACUAUGAAUACUAAGUGUCGGCGGUUUACCGACGGUGCCGCAUCUAACGCAUUAAGUAUACCCUCUGGGAAGAACCGCAGCAGGGUUG